rnacentral:rRNA from 1 species
UACGAAGGGUGCAAGCGUUACUCGGAAUUACUGGGCGUAAAGCGUGCGUAGGUGGUGGUUUAAGUCAGAUGUGAAAGCCCUGGGCUCAACCUGGGAACUGCAUUUGAUACUGGAUCACUAGAGUGCGGUAGAGGAUAGUGGAAUUCCCGGUGUAGCAGUGAAAUGCGUAGAGAUCGGGAGGAACACCAGUGGCGAAGGCGAGUCCCUGGACGAUACCUGACACUGAGGCACGAAAGCCAAGGGAGCAAACAGG